AUUCCAACUGACACCUUAGGAUCUACCCCCUUUCCUUGUCCUUUUGCUGCGGCCUCCGCAUUCUCAUCAUUUCUCUAUUCUCAGUCAAGUUUGCCGCUUCGUGGAUGUUCCUCCCACAACAUUAUAUUGUUCAGUGGCGCCAAGUUCGGUAUUCUGGCAUUGUUUUCAUAAAUACAUAUGACCUGACCUCCGAGAUAUGCAUAUAAAGUUGUACGGAGAUGUCAACCCCUCGACAUGCUAGGGUCUACAAGUGCUCUUCAUUAUUCCUCUCCAAGGGCACUUCAUUAUUCGAUCCAAUCCGGAGCUCCAAAUGUGGAGAAAAGUUAGAUACAUCUCACUGUCUAAAGCACACGAGGCCUCCGGUGUCAUCUAUAAAUGCCGUCCCAAUCUGUGCUGUCUAGUCAUUGAACCCAUUUUAGGGCCCAAGUCUAAUCACUUCCUUUCUAGCAUCCAAUUUAGUUGCUCUUCUUCGAGUCUCUGAACUUGGCCGUUUAGCAAUGGAACUUCAUUCUAAAUACCAAGUUGGCCUUCUUUGCGUGAUGCUGCUCUUCCCUGUGUUCUGCAUCUCCCAGGACUUCAUAUCCUCCAGAGCUACCUAUUAUGGUAGCCCUGAUAGCUAUGGGAAUCCAAGGGGAGCUUGUGGUAUGGCGAUUAUGGAAGGACCGUGAAUGAUGGGAGUGUUGCAGGCGUAUCUGGACUUUGCGCCACGCCAACCCAUUAUCGUGAGGCUGCAACUAACUGGGAGUUCAGGACUUUAUUCAGUACAGUCUAAGAGUGCCAUUCCAAGUGACUGGAAAAUUGGAGCUUCUUAUGACACCCAACUUCACAUAGAUUAAAUCCUGAAAAUAGAAGAGUGGCGAGGGGGAGGCUACAGCAUUCAAUAUUCAUCAUGUUCUAGUUAAUCAGUGUUGCUCUCAGAAGGCAAGCUUAGUGCUUGGUCUGCUGGAAUCCGAUUGCAGGGCUUCCUGAGAAGGGAAUUAAUAUUAAUAUUAUCAUAAUGAAUAAAGAAACCUGUUAGUUUACGCAACGCGUACUAUGAAGGGUCCUUGAUAGAAUGCCUUGAAACAUCCAAGAUCAAAUUUCCAACGAUUGUGACAUCGAUGCUUGGACAGACAGGAAAAUUAAAAAUACAAGACAUAAUGUUAGAUGGCACUAGUUUGCUAGCAAGCAAUGGUGCGUAGACUUUUCCUGGGUGGUCUUGGUCACUUGAGAAAUUAGGUGAUAAAAGAAUUGGCUUUGCAAUCUAGUAACAUGAGAACUCCCCUACAAGAGGGAGGUUAGCUAUUGUAUCUGCCCUUUUAAUU